rnacentral:ncRNA from 1 species
UCUUAACGCUGGGGGUGGCCUUAGAGCCUGAGAAAUACCCUUGGAACCUGAUCAGAGCCGGUUUCGGUAUAAACUGCGUAGGGAAGCGAGUUUAAACGAAA